UGUUUUAAACUCCGCUACGUGUGCAUGU
rnacentral:piRNA from 1 species